rnacentral:rRNA from 1 species
UCCGAAGGGGGCUAGCGUUGCUCGGAUUGACUGGGCGUAAAGGGCGCGUAGGCGGUUUGUACAGUCAGACGUGAAAUUCCUGGGCUCAACCUGGGGGCUGCGUUUGAUACGUGCGGACUUGAGUUCGGAAGAGGGUCGUGGAAUUCCCAGUGUAGAGGUGAAAUUCGUAGAUAUUGGGAAGAACACCGGUGGCGAAGGCGGCGACCUGGUCCGAUACUGACGCUGAGGCGCGAAAGCGUGGGGAGCAAACAGG